rnacentral:rRNA from 1 species
UACGUAGGGCGCAAGCGUUAUCCGGAAUUAUUGGGCGUAAAGAGCUCGUAGGCGGUCUGUCGCGUCUGUUGUGAAAACUCGAGGCUCAACCUCGGGCUUGCAGUGGAUACGGGCAGACUAGAGUGCGGUAGGGGAGACUGGAAUUCCUGGUGUAGGCGGUGGAAUGCGCAGAUAUCAGGAGGAACACCGAUGGCGAAGGCAGGUCUCUGGGCCGCAACUGACGCUGAGGAGCGAAAGCAUGGGGAGCGAACAGG